AAUUAAAUAUGUGAGGUCUUUGUCAGGAUGGCAAUUGGCAUUUAAUUUAUGUGGCAGCACUGUAGUGGUGUUACUCCCUUAGAACCUGGGAAAAUGGGCUUUGGAACACGUUUCACAGGGUCAGAAAGAGGAGGAGUGCCAAGUAAACAUUAUCUUUUGGGUUUGAACUCACUAAUGCUGUUGAUCCAGGGGUUUCCUGUUCCAAAGACAAUCCUGAACCUCUGGGUGAGAGAGGGAAAAUGAAUAUUAUAGCAUGUAUCCUACUCUGUCUUCCAUAAGUAUCUGCUGGGCUGCCUUUUAAAUUGAAGUUUUCUGAUGAGAAUACAUGGGGAAAAAAUUCCAUUUUCUGGGAAGACUUGAAUUUAUACCUUGUAACUCCUGAUGGUUCAUUUCUGAGAGGAAGAGAAGGAGAGACUGGGAAAUGGAAGGAAGUGACCUCUGGUUCUCUAUUGAAUGGGCUGAGAAUUUAAAAUGGCACAAAAGUGUGUCUCAAUUUCCUUUGUACGUUUAAAAGACUGUAAGGCAGAAAUUUGGUCCAUUUUAAUCUUUAUUUUUAGGGUAGAAUCGAAGCAAGUAGUCCCAGCAGGACCCUCCCUGUUUGAACACAGAGAUGUUACGCAGGGACAUGUAGAAAUCUGUCUUGGGCAAUUCUGAGCUUUGAUUCAAGUUUGAGGUGACUAAUUGUGAACUGCUUUCACCUUGUCAUGAGGAAUAGAAACGGGGAGAAGAUUGAUUAUGAAAGGAUUUUCUUCAUUUCCUCUUUUCUUUCUCACUUUGGCUUCAAUCUAAAUGAUGUAGUUGGGUGCACCCGUUAUUGAGAAGGGAUCAAAUAUUGCAUUCUGAUAAUAAAAGUAGAGUCGAGUCUGUGACAGAAAUCCCAGCUGAUAUAAAAGAAGAUUUCUGAGCGUGGCUUUGUAGAGGAAAAAAAAAAAAAAGAAAAGAAGAUUUUACGCUUUGGGGAGUCUCAGAAAUAGGCAGCAGGGAAUAAAUUGUGAUGGUUGUUUCAAUCUAGAUUUCUGUCAGGAGAAAAAUCAGUCUGAGCCACUGAGGAAUAAGGCAGAGAGAAGCUCAGGUAUCCAGUUGGGUUUGGUCCUUCCUAACCAAAGAAAGAAGCCAAAAUGUGUUAUUUGGAUUGCAGUGCAGCGUGAGAGUGGAGGAGAUGACAUGUGUGCACAGGCUUUCUGGUUUCAUGAAAAGUUCUCUAAUAUUUCUCCCUCAUUUCAGCAGAUCACUAUUACAAAAGCUGAUGGUCAGAGGUUCCCGAAAGCAGCUGGCACAGAGGUAAUGUCAGAGGGGCAGGGAGUGAUGUUCACCCUUGGAUGGAAUUGUGCUUCUGGAAGUGCAUGGAAAGGGCCUGGGAAGCAGCAGAGCUGCAAUCAGCUCCACAACCUAGAUAUGGACAUUAACAAGAGGAACAGUAAAGCCUCAGAAGCUCAGAAACCCUCUUAAAGGGGGAGUACACAAAUAAGUGAGACUUGAGCACUCUAAGUAAUAUAAACAUUGCAGCCAGAGGAGAAAAGAAGCAAGAAAGCAGGAGAGCUAAUGUUUCACACCAAAGCCCUGAAUUCUUCAGGAAUGUUAAAGAAGCACCAUAAUUUUCCCCUUUUCUAUAAGAGUUGAAUAUUGCUUAUUUGAAAGUUGUCUCCUCUGCCUUUUCUCCGUCCAAAUGGUCUUACUGGUGUCACAUAGAUUGAAAGUAACUAACCAAGGUAAGUCCCCAUUGUCAGAGAAUUGAGGGGCAACACUGUGCAAUGUUUUCUCUGGAGUUUUUUUAAUUGGGACCCUGCCUGUGUGCUACAUGUCCUUUUGAUUUUCAGCAAGCUUGAUUUAAAUCAUAACACUGGAAGUAAAAUGUGUAUGUGGGGGGGGGAAGGUUUUUCGAGUAGUCUGAGUAACGAAAGAAUUUAUAAUAGAAAAUAAAACCUUUCAAGUUUCUUUUUCCCUCUUCAUCAUUUGUGUGGUUAGUCUGCUGCUAAAAGUAUUUAUGCUCCUAUCUCUAGUCUUUCUAAUUGUGAGCAUGUUGCCUUUUCCCCCUGCCAUGCCGUGCUUUUUAAUUCUACUUGUUGCUGUAGCAUCCAGAAGCAAAUAACAUGAUGAAAACCUCUUAAUGCACUUUACUGUACAGCAAAACAGGAAGACAUAGUUUUUCCAGUCUCCAA